rnacentral:rRNA from 1 species
GAUGAACGCUAGCGGCAGGCCUAAUACAUGCAAGUCGAACGAGAUUAAGAGGCUUGCUUCUUAUGAAAGUGGCGCACGUGUGCGUAACGCGUAUGCAACCUACCUUAAUCAGGGGGAUAGCCCGAAGAAAUUCGGAUUAAGACCGCAUAAAAACACAGGAUAGCAUUAUCCAAUGUUCAAAUAUUUAUAGGAUUAAGAUGGGCAUGCGUGUCAUUAGCUAGUUGGCGGGGUAACGGCCCACCAAGGCGACGAUGACUGGGGGAUCUGAGAGGAUGACCCCCCACACUGGUACUGAGACACGGACCAGACUCCUACGGGAGGCAGCAGUAAGGAAUAUUGGUCAAUGGAGGGAACUCUGAACCAGCCAUGCCGCGUGCAGGAAGACAGCCCUCUGGGUCGUAAACUGCUUUUAUUCGGGAAUAAACCUUUCUACGUGUAGGAAGCUGAAUGUACCGAAGGAAUAAGGAUCGGCUAACUCCGUG